CUCACUUCCUCUUGGCGCCAAGUCCUCUGGGAUUCUGCCCCUCCCCUCCCAUCAGAAUACCCAAAAUGCCCAUAACAGGCAGUAAACGGAACCAGAACAUUAACUCUUUAACUUCCACUGGUUCAUGUGAUGUUCUGAUGUGGAAUACUGACAACAAAAAUCACCAAAACACAACAUCCAUUUAGCUUACUACUCGAUGACUGGGUCUCAAUUGGGCUGAACCUGUAAUUAUGUACCUGUAAUGCUCUGGGAAUGAGGACAGAGGAAAAGACAGCGAUAUCCUUUCCAGCCCUGCCAUCCACCAGUACCCCCAAACCCCUUUGAGCAGGGCUGUGCUCCAUCCUUACUUCCCUCAGCUUGUACUCAGUGGGGGGUUACCAGGACCUGUGUGCAAGACCUUGCACUUGGCUUUGCUGGAACUCAGAAGGUCCUCCUGGGCCCACUUACCAGGCCUGUCUAGGUCUAUCUGGAUGGCAUCCCGCCCCUUGAGCAUGCCAACCACACCACAAAGCUUGCUGUUAUCCACAGACUUGCUGAGUGUGUAUUCAAUCCCACUGUCAACAUCACUGAUGAAGAUCUUUCUUAAAGAGCACCAGUCACUGACCCCUGAGGGACACCACUUUUCACCAAUCUCCGUGUGGACACUGAGUCAUUGACCAUCCCUCACUGGGUACAAUAUUGCAACCAAUUCCUCAUCUAUCAAAGAAUUCAACCAUCUAAUCCAUAUGUUUCCAAUUUGGAAAGAAAGAUGUUAUGGGGAAAGAGUGGUGGGAAAGAGACCAUGUGAAAGGCCUUACUGAAGUCUGGAUAGAUGACAUCAGUGCUGCCUCCCUUGUCCACUGACACACCAUUAUAAAAAGCAGGAAGGUUGGUCAGGCAGGAGCUGCCCAUGCUGGUUCUCUCAUAUCACCAUCUUCCCUGUGCCUUAGCAUAGCUUUCAGUAGGAUCUGCUCUAUGAUCUUCCUGGCUCUGAGGGGAAGCUAACAGGUAGUAAUGACGCAACACAGCAAGACUGCUGGCUCAGAGAUGGUGUACGUAAUGAAGCAAUAUGAGUUGAUGUCACCACAGCAAUGGACUGCACAUGACAACAAGAAACUGACUAUCAAGCAAAAUUUCAGAAAACAGCUGCCUUAUCCGGAAAAUCUCAGGUAUCAUUUCCAACACGUCUUCUGGUCACUUAGAAAGCACAGGAACUUCAUGAUGCAAUAUUUGUUGUCAUUCAGACUUAAACUGCAACUUGGCAUAUACGGGGAAAAAACACAAGCUGUUAUUCUCCAAUUAGAGAUUAAUUUUGUCCUUAUUAUGUCUUCAGUGGACAUGAAAAUGGGUAAGUAAUAAUACCACGCGGCAGGAAACACAAGGUCCUUUUGGUAGAGGCUGGGGAAUAAAAAUAUUUAACCUCACAGAAGAGUCAGAUUGAGGCAGAGAUUUCAGUGUGCUCUUCAGCACAUCUAUUUCUUCACGUGACAGUAGAGUGAAAACUAUGAUAAAUAUUGCCAUAUUCCCAGCCCUAACAGGUACAGAAGAUGUAGGUAAGACCCACAAAUGUCUGAAGGGAAGGUGUGACAAAAGCAUGAAAGAGGUCACAUCUGCAAGAUCUUUUUGUCUCAUCUGAAGAGCUCCUUGUUAAGGGGAAAUACAAAUGUACAACAACUUCCAAUUAACUUCCAUGUCACAUUUAAAUAAUUGUUGAAUACAACCUUUUUAACUUUCAUCACAAAGAAUGAGUAAACUGCAUCUGAAUAGUCCUUCAAGGCAUUUUUGGUUUUCAUUUUAAUUAACAAAGUUAUCCCAAGCACAAACAUGGCUCCCGGUGUUUAAACAUUUAGAAUGUAAGUCUGUACAGUCUCUAAGUAUGAUGUUCUGUCCCUUCUGAAUGGAGCAUCCACCUUCAAUAAAGCAGAACUAGGCAGACAUUGUGAAGUGUUUUAUAUUUGAUAAUUUUCUGUCUUAACUGCUUUCUAUAUCUUCCUCAGUGCAUCAACAUUAGAGAAGGACUCCUUUUAAAAUAAAACAUAAUUAUAAUGCAAUUGAGUCAAAAUUAUGUAUAAUUUAUCUCUUUGGCUGCUGUUAACCUACCUUCCCUUUUUUGUUAUGGUCAGAGCACACAUAUGUAUGCUACUUCUGCUCACCCCCUUCCUGAACCUACAGAACUUCAUUGCAUUCACAUCUCGGCUUCCAGGUCACAUGUAAGUCCCUGUAUAACACAGAACAUUGAUGUGGGUUUUUUUUGUUUCGUUUUUUUGUUUGUUUGUUUUGUUUGGUUGGUUGGUUUGGUUUGGUUGGUUGUUGUUGCUGCUGCUGUUUGCAUUGGUUUUAAGAGAUUUUAAGAGGAUGAGCAGAGAGAAAAGAGACCAUUCCAAAAAUCCCUUUGUAACGACUUUGUUUUAACUGGUUGUGAACUGCAUUGUAGACCAGACAAUGUGUUCAGUAAAUCUUAUUCUCCAAGUUUUUUAAUGAGGAAGUGAAAAUGGAUUGUGAAUUAUUAAUAAAGCUAUUAAUGUACCUC
ensembl:lncRNA